UCAUCUUUGCCCGGCGGCUGGCGGGCAGGCUGCUACAACCUCCACUUAGUCUACCCCAGCUGCAGGCUGUAAUGUUGGGGGAGCUGCCACAUCCUGAAGGAUGAAAAAUAAAUCACGCUUCUUCUGUCGUGUUCUAUUUCUAGGCUUAGAGGAAAAGGGAGAAGAAUUUGCUCGCAUGCUUACGGAGCUUCUCUUUGAAUUACAUGUGGCGGCCACACCUGACAAACUCAAUAAGGCCAUGAAGAGGGCUCAUGACUGGGUGGAAGAGGAUCAAACCGUGGUGUCAGUAGAUGUGGCAAAAGUGUCCGAAGAAGAAACAAAGAAGGAAGAACAGGAAGAGAAAUCUCAAGACCCUCAAGAAGACAAAAAGGAGGAAAAGAAAACUAAGACCAUAGAGGAAGUAUACAUGUUGUCCAUUGAAAGUCUGGCGGAGGUAACAGCGCGCUGUAUUGAGCAGCUUCAUAAAGUAGCAGAAUUAAUUCUUCAUGGACAAGAAGAGGAAAAACCAGCUCAGGACCAAGCAAAAGUUCUAAUAAAAUUAACUACUGCAAUGUGCAAUGAAGUGGCCUCCUUAUCAAAGAAGUUUACGAAUUCUUUAACCACUGUUGGGAGCAACAAGAAGGCUGAGGUCCUUAACCCCAUGAUCAGUAGUGUAUUGUUAGAGGGCUGCAACAGUACAACGUACAUACAGGAUGCCUUCCAGCUGCUGCUGCCUGUUCUGCAGGUCUCACAUAUCCAGACCAGUUGUUUGAAAGCACAGCCGUGACCUGGCCAGACUCCAUCUAGUUAAAGGAGACAGCUGGCCGCCUUGCCUCAAUAUAUACCAUUUAAGGGGAUGUUCUCUGUGCGCCUGGCCACAGACAUCCAUUUGAGGACACUACAAGCAAUUUUGCACAGACAAUAUUGAGAAUGCAAAUUUAAAGAGAGUUAUCAUUUCUCUCAAUGUGUAUAAUUGUUUUUACAAACAAUUGUGUUUUCUUUAUGUUAAUUUAAACUUACACAGCUUAUAUUGAAAAUUUCCUUUCAUCUGAAAUUUAUUUACAAAUAUUUGUGUUCAUUUUCCUGGUUAAGCAUGCUAUAUUUAGAAACUCAUGGGGAGACCUUAGACUUUUGUUUAAUCCUUUAUGUUUCAACCUUUAAAUGUUCCAUUCUUAUAGUAUUACUUUAAAUCAAUUCUAAAACUGAACUUUGUUUUGUUACAUAAAUGUUGCAGGCAAAAAUAACACUACUUAUAGAUUUUAC
rnacentral:sRNA from 1 species